AACGCACGAGACCUGCGGACCUGCGGAGGGAUCAUUACCGAGUGAGGGUCCCUAGGGCCCAACCUCCCACCCGUGUUUACUACACCCUGUUGCUUCGGCGGGCCCGCCGCUCGUCGGCCGCCGGGGGGCCCUACAGCCCCCGGGCCCGUGCCCGCCGGAGACCCCAACAUGAACCCUGUUCUGAAAGCUUGCAGUCUGAGUAGAUUCUUGUAAUCAGUUAAAACUUUCAACAAUGGAUCU
rnacentral:misc_RNA from 1 species